rnacentral:rRNA from 1 species
AUUGAACGCUGGCGGCAGGCCUAACACAUGCAAGUCGAGCGGAUGAAGGGAGCUUGCUCCUGGAUUCAGCGGCGGACGGGUGAGUAAUGCCUAGGAAUCUGCCUGGUAGUGGGGGAUAACGUCCGGAAACGGGCGCUAAUACCGCAUACGUCCUGAGGGAGAAAGUGGGGGAUCUUCGGGCCUCACGCUAUCAGAUGAGCCUAGGUCGGAUUAGCUAGUUGGUGGGGUAAAGGCCUACCAAGGCGACGAUCCGUAACUGGUCUAAGAGGAUGAUCAGUCACACUGGAACUGAGACACGGUCCAGACUCCUACGGGAGGCAGCAGUGGGGAAUAUUGGACAAUGGGCGAAAGCCUGAUCCAGCCAUGCCGCGUGUGUGAAGAAGGUCUUCGGAUUGUAAAGCACUUUAAGUUGGGAGGAAGGGCAGUAAGUUAAUACCUUGCUGUUUUGACGUUACCAACAGAAUAAGCACCGGCUAACUUCGUG